GUGUCCAAUCAGGUACAGUGCUCACCUGCACUUUCGCUCUUUGCAGUCAAGUUUGUCGACGUGAAUGAAAGCAUUCGCGAGAAAAAAAUAAUUCAAAACAAGUGGGUGUUGGAGCGUUUCGGACUACACACAAUAGUGUGAGAAGGUUUAUAUUAAACUCUAAAGUGAACAGAGGCCUUCGUACUGUAAUGCGGACCAUGGAUGCUCUCUCUCGACCCUGCUGAGAAUACAAAGUCGUCUGGUUUGCCCAUUUUGGCGAGAGGCCUGCUCUUUUCGCCACGCUCUAACCUUUGAACUCGGGAUUGAUUAGCACGUCUUGUCCCAUUACCGCCUGGCAAUCUGGAGGAUUUGACGCUCAUCGGAUUGCUCCCAUGCAAAUGUGAAAUGACUUUUUUUCCCCCAGCUCCCGUCUUUAUCCAGGAUGAACAUUUUAAUGAUUUAUCGGCCGACGCAACGCAAAACGGCCACGUUGCCGACGACGUGCGGCGCUGGUACCUUGAAAUGAAUGCCGUUUCCCCGCCGACGCUCCUUUAAAAGAGACACCGGCCAUUCGUCUCCUCGGCCACGCCGGUAACAAGCCAUCUGCCGCAUGCGGACAUGAAAGAUUAAAUUGAUAUACAGUAUGAAAGCUCCCCAUUCACUUGCUAAUGUCGGACAUUGGCGGCCGCGCAGGCCGAAGCUGUCGUCCCUCCCAGGAAGAGGUCAUUAGCGCCCUUCCUCCGUUCCGGCUGCCA